rnacentral:rRNA from 1 species
GAUGAACGCUGGCGGCGUGCCUAACACAUGCAAGUCGAGCGGCAGCGAGGGGUGCUUGCACCCUGUCGGCGAGCGGCGGACGGCUGAGUAGCGCGUGGGAACGUGCCCCAAAGUGAGGAAUAACUGCCCGAAAGGGUAGCUAAUACCGCAUAUUAUCUUCGGAUCAAAGGAUUUAUCCGCUUUGGGAGCGGCUCGCGUCGGAUUAGGUAGUUGGUGAGGUAAUGGCUCACCAAGCCGACGAUCCGUAGCUGGUCUGAGAGGAUGACCAGCCAGACUGGAACUGAGACACGGUCCAGACUCCUACGGGAGGCAGCAGUGAGGAAUCUUCCACAAUGGGCGAAAGCCUGAUGGAGCAACGCCGCGUGCAGGACGAAGGCCUUCGGGUUGUAAACUGCUUUUAUAAGUGAGGAAUAUGACGGUAACUUAUGAAUAAGGAUCGGCUAACUACGU